ACCCACUGGCUCUUAUGAGACAUCCUGUUAUAGACUUAACUGGCUGGCACUACACAUUCCACAAACUGGGGCUGAUUCAAGUAUGUGAAGGGGAAACUGUUAUUCCUGCAGCCAUCCCAUGUGUAUUUUGGCUUUCUGAAGUGCUGGUCUCUAUGACGAGGUAAACAUCAGGCUCCAAGCUUCAAUGACGAGAAGGGAAAAUGGUCUAUUUUCGGACUUUCCUGAUGCCCAGCUCGAGUGUGAUGAAUGUUAAUUGUAUGCACCGCGGUGUUUCUGUGAGAAAGGCCACUUGUGAUGGAGUCAGACUGGUUACCUUUUGAAAAAUAUUCCUCCGAGUGAUGCUCAAAAGCAUUCCAGUGAGUUUGCUGAACCUGGGUAGAGCUAGAAGAUUUACAAAGGGAUCCAGGUGGGCAGGAGCUGGAACAGAGCAAUGGGAGCUCACUCGAGGAUUCGAACUGCCGACCUUCUGAUCGGCAAGCCCGAGAGGCUCAGUAGUUUAGACCACAGCGCCACCCGACUGCCCCUUCCAACAUUCAACACUUAACCUGAAGGCAAAACAACGUCUACGAUGAACAGAAGCACCCAGUCCUGCAAUGAUGUCUGCACAGGUCUAGUGGCUUCCUACAUAAAAUGCCAUUGAUGUUGGGAGAUGUGUUAAAAUUGGG